rnacentral:rRNA from 1 species
UACGUAGGGGGGCUAGCGUUGUCCGGAAUCAUUGGGCGUAAAGCGCGUGUAGGCGGUCCGGUAAGUCCGCUGUGAAAGUCGAGGGCUCAACCCUCGAAUGCCGGUGGAUACUGCCGGGCUAGAGUCCGGAAGGGGCAACUGGAAUUCUCGGUGUAGCGGUGAAAUGCGUAGAUAUCGAGAGGAACACCUGCGGCGAAGGCGGGUUGCUGGGCUGACACGUGACGCUGAGGCGCGAAGGCCAGGGGAGCAAACGGG